rnacentral:rRNA from 1 species
GACGAACGCUGGCGGCGUGCUUAACACAUGCAAGUCGAACGGAAAGGCCUCUUUCGGGGGGUACUCGAGUGGCGAACGGGUGAGUAACACGUGAGUAAACUGCCCUCGACUUUGGGAUAACUUCCGGAAACUGGGGCUAAUACCGGAUAGGAGCUCCUGCUGCAUGGUGGGGGUUGGAAAGAUCCGGCGGUUGGGGGUGGACUCGCGGCGUAUCAGCUUGUUGAUGGGGAAGUGGAUAACCAAGGCCUUGACGGGUAGCCGGCCUGUGGGGGUGACCGGCCACAUUGGCUCUUAGAUGCGGCACAGACACCUACGCGUGGCAGAAGUGCGGAAUCUUGACCAAGCGGUGGCGGCCUGAUGCUGCAGCGCCGCGUGCCGGAUGACUGUCUUCGUGUUGAAGACCGCUUUCGCUCGUGACGAAGCUUUGUGUGACGGUAGUGGGUAAAGAAGCACCGGCUAACUACGUG